rnacentral:rRNA from 1 species
CCUACGGGGGGCUGCAGUGGGGAAUAUUGCGCAAUGGGCGAAAGCCUGACGCAGCGACGCCGCGUGAGGGAUGAAGGUCUUCGGAUCGUAAACCUCUGUCAGCAGGGAAGAACGGUCACUGUGCUAUUCAGCAGUGAAUUGACGGUACCUGCAAAGGAAGCACCGGCUAACUCUGUGCCAGCAGCCGCGGUAAUACGGAGGGUGCGAGCGUUAAUCGGAAUUACUGGGCGUAAAGCGCUCGUAGGCGGUAUGUCAAGUCAAGGGUGAAAUCCCCGCGCUCAACGUGGGAACUGCCUUUGAAACUGGCAGACUGGAGUGUGUGAGAGGGUAGUAGAAUUCCAGGUGUAGGAGUGAAAUCCGUAGAUAUCUGGAGGAACAUCAGUGGCGAAGGCGACUAUCUGGCAAAUAACUGACGCUGAGGAGCGAAAGCGUGGGUAGCAAACAGGAUUAGAUACCCGGGUAGUC